CAUUAACGAGUCCGACUCGACGACCACGAGGGGGGCCUCCCCUCUCGUGCGUCUCGUGCGUCUCCUUUCCUGUGCACCCAUCGUAGGUCCCUAGGACCUACGUCGACCUCUCGAACGUUCAUGGACCGCGUGUGCGACGUGCGUCUGACGCACGAAGGACAACUUUCAGCGACGGAUCUCUUGGCUCUCGCAUCGAUGAAGGACGCAGCGAAUCGCGAUAAGUAAUGUGAAUUGCAGAUCUUCCGUGAAUCAUCGAAUCUUUGAACGCACCUUGCGCUCCUCGGCAUUCCGAGGAGCAUGCCUGUCUGAGCGUCGCGAUAUCCUCGAACCCGAGGGGGUCCGUCCCCCUCUGGGUUCGGAACUUGGGGGCUGCGGGCACGUCCUCGUGGGGACGGUCGGCUCUCCUGAAACGCAUCAGCGGAGAGGAUGGCAUCGCGAUGGAGCGUGACCUUUUCCCCUCGACGUCGUAAGGAUCGUCGUGGGGCUCGUGAUCGCGAGCGAUGGACGUCCGUCUCAGGCUUUUCCAGUCACACGUGUCUCAGGUUUCGGCCUCAGAUCAGGCAGGGCUACCCGCUGAACUUAAGCAU
rnacentral:rRNA from 1 species